UGAGUGAUGAAGGCCUUAGGGUUGUAAAGCUCUUUCGCACGCGACGAUGAUGACGGUAGCGUGAGAAGAAGCCCCGGCUAACUUCGUGCCAGCAGCCGCGGUAAUACGAAGGGGGCUAGCGUUGUUCGGAAUUACUGGGCGUAAAGGGCGCGUAGGCGGCCUGUUUAGUCAGAAGUGAAAGCCCCGGGCUCAACCUGGGAAUAGCUUUUGAUACUGGCAGGCUUGAGUUCCGGAGAGGAUGGUGGAAUUCCCAGUGUAGAGGUGAAAUUCGUAGAUAUUGGGAAGAACACCGGUGGCGAAGGCGGCCAUCUGGACGGACACUGACGCUGAGGCGCGAAAGCGUGGGGAGCAAACAGGAUUAGAUACCCUGGUAGUCCACGCCGUAAACGA
rnacentral:rRNA from 1 species